CCCAACUAUCCCUAUUAAUCAUUACGUCGAUCCUAGAAACCAACAAAAUAGGGUCAAACGUCCUAUUUCAUUAUUCCAUGCUAAUGUAUUCAAGCGCGAGCCUGCUUUAAACACUCUAAUUUUUUCAAAGUAACAGUCCUGAUUCCCCGCCACACCAACUUAAUGACAUGACGGUUCUUCAGAAGGGAGAAACCAGUGACACCAGUGCAUACCGAAGGCACGACCAGCGUACUGAUCUCGAAAUUCAACUACGAGCUUUUUAACUGCAACAACUUUAAUAUACGCUAUUGGAGCUGGAAUUACCGCGGCUGCUGGCACCAGACUUGCCCUCCAA
rnacentral:misc_RNA from 1 species